rnacentral:rRNA from 1 species
UACGAAGGGGGCAAGCGUUGUUCGGAUUUACUGGGCGUAAAGGGCGCGUAGGCGGCGCAACAAGUCACUUGUGAAAUCUCCGGGCUUAACUCGGAAAGGUCAAGUGAUACUGUUGUGCUAGAGUGCGGAAGGGGCAACUGGAAUUCUCGGUGUAGCGGUGAAAUGCGUAGAUAUCGAGAGGAACACCUGCGGCGAAGGCGGGUUGCUGGGCCGACACUGACGCUGAUGCGCGAAAGCCAGGGGAGCGAACGGG